GAUGGAAGCUAUCUUUAAUAUCCUUUGCUUCAGAUGAAGCAAACUCUAAUAUCCUUUGCUUCCGAUGAAGAAUCUGAGGAGCUGCCAUGCUCUUGAUCAGACUUCAGUUUCUGCAGCCUCGCAGGUCACACGCUUCCUUGAAGGUCACACGGGCGGUUCAUGGCAGGCUGGGACUGCAACCUAGCUCGGUUUGUCUGACUCCAGGCUUGUCAUCGCGGGAGGCGUUUAGGGGGCUUGAGGUCCCCCACCUUGUGCAUCAAGGACCAGCCUAGAUCUAACGGAGUUGACAGCGAGGCGGGAAUCCCAGCCUUCCCUGCGAAGGGAGGGCGCAAGGGGGCACCGCUGUUGAGGGCGAGCGGCAACCAUGCCGACAGCUGUUGUGCACUAGCUGGGAUGGGGUGGAGGGAACUACAGUUCCCAGGAAGCAGUGCGGCUCCCUGGCUGCCCCGCUCAGGCCACGCCUAGACCACGCCCCCACCCGCCUCGGCCACGCCCCGGCCACGCCCCCGGGCGGGCUGGUAUAUAAGGGCCGAAUGGCCCGGCGGCGGGCAGAGCGCGGAGGCGGCGCGGGCGCGCGCGGGGCUGCCGGGGCCGGAGGAGGCUGCUGCUCGCCCGCUCGCCCGCCCGCCGCUCCGCGCUUCUCCCUCCGCCUCCCCGGCCCCGCGCACCUACGAGCUCCGGGCCGCGGGCCGAGCUGCCCCGGGCGCUGUCCGGGCCUGCAGAGGGGAUGCCGGCGGGGACCUCGGGCUCGCGCCGGCGUUGCGCAGCAAAGAAAGGCGAGGCGCGGCGUCGGGGCUGCGCGCCCUGGAGCUCCGGGACGCGGCACUUGGGAACCCCCGCGGCGAGCUCCCGCCAUCUCCGCGCGGCCGGAGCGCGCAGCCCGGGGCUGGCCUCGGGUGGAAAGUGCGGGGAAUGGGGCGAGGGGCUCCGGACCCCCCACCGUGGAUUACUUGGUGUGCAUCAGCCGGGCUCAGACGACCCCCACCCCCGCGACCUCGUCUGCGUCCUGGGCUUGCUUCCUUCCACCUGGCAGUCGGGGCGCAUACCUGGCAGAUUCUUUCUCUCUGUCCUGGUCAUCCUGGCAUCUGUCUGUAGGGGAAGAUGACUUGGGGAAGAUGCCUGUGUGGCUGCCUUCAUGGGUGGUGGUCAGAAUGGCCAUUUGAUAUCACCUGUGCCCUAAAGCAGGCCUUUGCCCUGUUCCUUCUGCCUCCCUGGAUGAGGGUUCAACAAAUACAGCCGCCAACCCGUGCCGGCUGCCAGAGCAGCAGUGUUACGUCGGGAAGGAGAGAGAAGCCCGCCUUCUGCAGGCUGGGAGCAGAUGGCUCCAGCGUCUCUUUCUUCAUCCUCAUAGGCCUGCUUGUGGGUGGGCAUCAUCAUCUCUGACAUCAGAGGUUUAAAAGGUUUAGAGACUUUAAGCAAUGUCCUUAAGACGCCAGAGCUUUGCAGGAUGGAGCCGUGGUUCAGACUCGGGUCUUAACACGUGCCCAACCCUGGGGUCCCAUCCUGGCCCGGUCACCAACAUCUUUGUGACAUUGUAUGAGUCACCGGGCC
rnacentral:lncRNA from 12 species